rnacentral:rRNA from 1 species
UACGAAGGGUGCAAGCGUUACUCGGAAUUACUGGGCGUAAAGCGUACGCAGGCGGUUUUGAAAGUUAGAAGUGAAAGCCCAGGGCUUAACCCUGGAAUUGCUUUUAAAACUCCAAAACUAGAGUACUGGAGAGGUUGGCGGAAUUCCGAGAGUAGAGGUGAAAUUCGCAGAUAUUCGGAGGAACACCAAUGGCGUAGGCAGCCAACUGGACAGUUACUGACGCUCAUGUACGAAAGCGUGGGGAUCAAACAGG